rnacentral:tRNA from 1 species
CAAGAAGUAGUUUAAUGAGAAUUUCAGCUUUGGGUGUUGAUGGUGAGGAAUUAUAAUCCUUCUUCUUGA